AGAGUUUGAUCAUGGCUCAGGAUGAACGCUGGCGACGUGCCUAACACAUGCAAGUCGAACGGAGCGAGACAGCUUGCUGUCGAGCUUAGUGGCGGACGGGUGAGUAACGCGUAGAUAAUCUGCCUAGUAGAGGGGGAUAACAACCCGAAAGGGUUGCUAAUACCGCAUAAUGUCCAUUGAUCGCAUGGUUGAUGGAAGAAAGGAGAAAUCCGCUAUAAGAGGAGUCUGCGUCCUAUUAGCUAGUUGGUGAGGCAAGAGCUUACCAAGGCGACGAUAGGUAGCCGGAUUAAGAGGUUGACCGGCCACAAUGGAACUGAGAUACGGUCCAUACUCCUACGGGAGGCAGCAGUGGGGAAUAUUGCACAAUGGGGGAAACCCUGAUGCAGCGACGUCGUGUGAGGGAAGAAGUUUUUCGGAAUGUAAACCUCUGUCCUAUGAGACGAAAAGAAUGACGGUAUCAUAGGAGGAAGUCAUGGCUAACUACGUGCCAGCAGCCGCGGUAAUACGUAGAUGGCGAGCGUUAUCCGGAAUGACUGGGUGUAAAGGGUGCGUAGGCGGCAUAUUAAGUCAGAUGUGAAAUACCCGUGCUCAACAUGGGAACUGCAUUUGAAACUGAUAAGCUAGAGUACAGGAGAGGAAAGUGGAAUUCCUAGUGUAGCGGUGGAAUGCGUAGAUAUUAGGAGGAACACCAGUGGCGAAGGCGACUUUCUGGACUGUAACUGACGCUGAUGCACGAAAGCAUGGGGAGCGAACAGGAUUAGAUACCCUGGUAGUCCAUGCCGUAAACGAUGAAUACUAGGUGUGGGGUGUAAGAGCUCCGUGCCGCAGCAACGCAAUAAGUAUUCCACCUGGGGAGUACGACCGCAAGGUUGAAACUCAAAGGAAUUGACGG
rnacentral:rRNA from 1 species